CCUGGAAAGAUCCAAGUGUCUCGAUUCUCCCAGCGUCCACCUGCCUUGGCCUCCCAAUGUGCUGGGAUUACAGGUAUGCGCCCACUGUACCUAGCCUCUUGGAUAUUCCUAUGUUGAUAUAAAAUACUGUCUUCCAGUUACCUUCUAAUUUGCAAAGCCUUCUGAUUUACCUUCUGAUUUGCAAAGAAAAAAAUUUUCUUUCAGCAUCCCAGGCUUAAAACCUUAAAGUUAUUUUUCACAUUCUUCUUUUUUUAUGCUGUAAUAUACCCUGUUAGUUAAUAGGUUCUGUGUGGGCUUUUGGGUGCUUCCUAUGACUGGCCCAUCUGCAAAGUAGAUCUGUUGACUUAUUUCGGCUACUGGCAGCUUAGGAUAGAUCCUUAUAUCUGUAAGAGCUACUUAAAUGCCUUUUCAGCAAUAUACUCUUAGAGUCAUGGCGUCAUAGAUGUCACUGAUAAAAAGAAAUGUGUUCCUGGGUUAAAAUUCUGAACAUAUUUUCUGUUAGAAAUAGUCUUGUGGAUAGGGCUACGUACAAGAUUAAG
rnacentral:lncRNA from 1 species